rnacentral:rRNA from 1 species
UCCGUAGGGUGCAAGCGUUGUCCGGAUUUAUUGGGCGUAAAGAGCUCGUAGGCGGUUUGUCGCGUCGGCUGUGAAAACCCGAGGCUCAACCUCGGGCCUGCAGUCGAUACGGGCAAACUAGAGUGUGGUAGGGGAGACUGGAAUUCCUGGUGUAGCGGUGAAAUGCGCAGAUAUCAGGAGGAACACCGGCGGCGAAGGCGGGUCUCUGGGCCAUAACUGACGCUGAGGAGCGAAAGCGUGGGGAGCGAACAGG